UAGAAAGACGAGAGAAACAGGAUUGUCUUUAGAUUGCAGUGUAGAGCUUGUUAUUACACCUAUCAAUAACCACAUUUACCAGCUUGGCUUACAAAGUCAGACAAGAGGAAAGUUUUAUUGUUUGUAUUUUGAUAUGGUAUAAAAGCGAAAAACUUGAUGUGUUCACAAGAAAGUGAAUAUAAAUUUAAAGUCAAUAUGAAGACGCGAAGAGACGCAAAGUUUCUUCUCAACCUGUCUGCAGCAGCGAGCAGUACCAAGGUACCAACAACCACUUGUAGCUGACUGUGGGCACCCAGAGCUCUGAUACUACUUCAUAUUUAUACAGAGGCUGGACAAAAAAGGAGAUAGAAGUUGCAAGGAAGUUGGACUACCUGGUAAAUGCUUAAAAUGUGUCUGUUACUUGAGUCCGGCAAUCAGUUAUACUUUACUUUGAACGAUCGCAACUCACAAAACAAACAAGUUAUCUUGACUUCUUACAUACAGAAGAGAUGUCAGACUUCUUACAAAUGGCCCUCAUGUAAUUUCUUUCAGCAUCCUUUUGAUCCACAAUUACAUUACAGCAAGAUCUGUUUUAAAUAUUUACUUGCGUAACUAAAUAGAGUAAAUAUUCCCAUCUCGCUUACUACCGUAAACACAAAUGAUUCCACGAGUAAACUUGAGUGAGUAAUGUGGAACUUUGCUUCCAUGUGAACUCACAGUUAGGAUGAGGACUGAACAAUGUGUAAACAAACAUUAUUUCAGAUAAUGAAUUUGGACAUUUGUUGGAUGGUAGACUUCCUAGUAUUGAUGGGCGAAAAAGUACUUUAUUAUAAGUGAUACUUAUGUGCUCUUAUUUUACGCUCCAAGUUCUGAUUAUGUUGUGAUAUACAUCAAAUAUACAUCCUGCGGUCCCUUGAUAAUUGAAAAUCAAAGAGAUACACACACGCCUGCACACCGACACACACACACACACACACACUGUAUGUUUACAUCCACAGGAAGCAUUUAAGUACAGUUCUCUACAUCCUGCCACAACUCUCUUUACAGCCUGCAUAUGCGCAACGUGUUUUUAUAUCUUGCGUGUCUGAAGGUUUUCCAUCCUGGUGUUGUCAAUUUAACCACCUUUACUAAGAAAGCACACAUGAAAGCAUGUUUCACUCGUCACCAAAGGAAACAUGGGUGAAAUAUUGUUUUGCAUUGUAAUAUAGAGGAAAUUACCACAGGAAAUAAUAGUUGAUAGUAAUAAUGUAGAAUUAAAGGGAUAUUUGAGUUAUCUAGUAAUGCCCCAUGCAUAAAGUAAAGAGACAUGCACAAUGGUUAAAGACAAACUGAGAUACCAUGACUCCUAAUCCUGCCUUUCCAAUAAUGCAACAAUACACCUCCAAAGCCAUAAAACACAUUAUGUUUUCACUUAUACUCUCCAUGACGAUUACACUGACCUUCAUGUGUAAAAAGGAAGUUGCAAAAAGUCUGGCUGACCCAGCUGGGUUCAAACUAAAUCGACAUCAAACAGCGAUCAAAUCCUCCCUAACCCCGGCUGUCCAGUCUUCAUGCAUCACAAGUGAAAUCACCUGCUGUAGUGUUUUUUACGUCUCUAUUAGUUCCUUCAAUUGUACGCCUCAACUGUCUUUCCUGCCUCUUUCUAAUCUGGAGACCUCUCUGUAGUCACUCCGACACACUUGGCACGCUGACUGAAACAGGUGUUUUCUUUCCUGCUCUCCAUCUCUGCAGUCGAAAGCCCUGCGCCUUGGCCACGGUCCAAUGCACCACCAGCAGCAGCAGCAGCAGCUUUUCACAGAUAAGAGAGCUGCCAGGUGGACAGAAGAGAAAGGACAUAUCCCCUGGGUGGAUGCACACCAGGAAGCUUGGGCUAGAGGAAAACACUCUUUAGAAACAACAGGGUUCCUGUUUCUGAGGUAGCUCUGGCUCCGUGAUGCUAUAAGGUGAGGCCGAGUGAGCGCAGCUGGGUGGAGAGCAGAGUAGUGAUGGAUGCCUGGAAGCAGCGGGAAGACUUUACACGACUCCCGACAGCUGAGGAGGGGCACGGACACGGAUCGAUACAGACAGACAAAAGGGCAAACCAUUGUUGGAGCCUGACACCGCUGGAACAUCGAAACUUAACAGAGUUUUAUGGCACCAUUCAGCAGCCCUCAGGGAAUUUAAGGGUUUAUAUGAAUCAUAGCUACGCCUAAAUCGGGGAUUGCGGUUGUGCCUGCUGCUGUGGCCCUACCCGACGCCCACUACCAAUACUCUUGAUAUUAUCAUCAUCAUCACUAUUACUACAGUCAUAGUUAUAUCAUAAGUAUGGUUUUAUAAUAUUAUUUUUUAUUUUUUAACUCGACCGGUGCUGACCAUAAGCUGGGCUCCUCUUCUGUAAAGGAAGGUUUUUCUUGCCACUCUCACCAGGUGUUUGCUCAUGGUGGGAACUGUCGCGUCUCUGUAAAUAAUACUGUAAAGUACUGUCUAGACAUGAAAAAUGUCACGAGAUAACUUCUGUCAUGUUUUGGUGCUAUAUAAAUAAUACAUGCUGACAAAUUUAGAUUUAAGCCCUCCCACACAUUUGAACUGUGAACAAUGUGAAGAGAACCUCUUCAAGCUCCUUUUUGCUACCACCUACUGCUUAAUUACUAUUAAUAACUCCAAGAUAAUAAAAAAUG